CUAAGAUGAAAAUUUUAAAUUACAUUUCCCAAGUAAUCUCAGAGAAAUUUCAGCAAGCAUUGAAUGAACAAAAAUGGCAUGAUGGAACAGAAAUAGUUCUUUGACUGUCAGCAGAUAUUUAAAUAACAUGAAUGCCAUCUAGUUAUAAUGGAUUCUUUUAAAAUUGAUGAUACUUAGAGAACAAAGAGGAUCAGCCCAGAGUCACUUACUGCAAAAAACUGCAGGGUAUAAUAGUUGACAUGAAAAUGACUCUUCAAGACUUUUAGCAUAAUAAACCCCUGGGUAGAAGACACUCAGAGUGACUCCCAGAAAUACAGAACCAACUGCUUUUCCACAAAGCUACUACAUUUAUGAUCACCUGGAAAGACUAAAGUACCAAUGUAAAAUUCCUGCUGUGACUGGCCUUAAUAUUAAAAGCCAGAGAAAUGAACAAAAGGGGAGGAAGAGUGAAGGAGUCCUCCAUCAAUGGGAAACAUUAUUUAAAUCAAUAAAUAAACGUGACAAGUGAUUUGUGAAAUCACAGGAGAAGCAACUUAGUAUAGCUAGAAUGACUGCAAGACAUCACAAGGGUAGCUAUGCCUGCCAUUUUUCAGCAAUAAAUGGGACUUCUUGCUGCUUCACUCAUGAGCAUUUAUUGUCAGUGUUCUGGAUUUGGGUCAGUACAAUAGAAGACAAAUGUAGUAGGCUGACUAAUACCCCUGUUCAAGAUGUCCAUAUCCUGAAUCAUGGAACCUGCAAAUAUAUUAUUUUAUAUGGCAAAAAGAUUUUACAUAUUUAAUUAAGAAUCUUAAUAAGACAACUUGUCCUGGAUUACAAAGCUCCAUCAUGUGAUCACAAAGGAGGAAAACAGGAUAUCCAGUGAAAGAAUGGUGCCAUGCGAGAGUGACUUGCCUGCUCAUUAUUGCUUUCAAGGAGGAAGUGACCACAAACCAAGGAAAUUAUGUGGCCUCUGGAAGAAAAGUAACCUACACUGCCUGAGCUUUAUAACUCAUCUCUGAAUUGAGCAAUGGAUUUCAAGUUGAAUACUUCCUAUGUUCAUGGAACAGGAACAAGACUAAUAUGGCCAGGAUACUGAUAGAUACAUUACACAUAUGAAGAAGAUAAAAAGAUUGGGGACAACUACAGACGAGUUGACAUUUCUCCCAUCAAGAUGUGAAUCUGUGACCUUCCACCUUGAAAUAUGGGUUAUCAUGUUAUGAUUGUGACCAAUGAAACAUGGCAAAACUGAUGCUGUUUCAAGUUUUAGAACUAUCAUCUUCUGCUUCCUCUCUGCUUUUAAUAGACUGUAAACUUCUUGAGACCAGUGGAUGUUCUUAAUCUUCUAUAUUCAGCAUCUUUCCAGGUUCAUCUUGGGUCCUGUAUAUAAUUACUGCAUAUUUUGAUGUUUCAGCAGUUCUUGUAAAUGGAGUUCCUUUUCUAUCCUUCCCUUCUCUCAGGUCAGUUUUUAAUCAAUUACUUUACUGAGAAUUUUUAAGUUGUGUACUAUAAAUUGAUCUCUAACCACCACCCUGCUUUUCCCCAUACUACCAAGUUGGUCAUGAACACUUGCACUUGAGGCUUGUUUAUAGUAUCUAUAAGUGUAUUAGGAAUUAGAAAAAUCAGUAGGUCUUUUUACAUUGUUUAAACAUUAGCAUAUUUGAACAGUAAAUUCUAUCCUCAUACUGCUUAAACUUCUUAAAAAUUGUGUC